rnacentral:rRNA from 1 species
AUACGGAGGGUGCAAGCGUUACUCGGAAUCACUGGGCGUAAAGCGCGCGCAGGCGGCUAUUUAAGUUGGAUGUGAAAGUCUACGGCUCAACCGUAGAACUGCAUCCAAAACUAUUUAGCUAGAGUGUGAGAGAGGAAGAUGGAAUUAGUUGUGUAGGGGUAAAAUCCGUAGAGAUAACUAGGAAUACCAAAAGCGAAGGCAAUCUUCUGGAACACUACUGACGCUGAGGCGCGAAAGCGUGGGGAGCAAACAGAAUUAGAUACCCUAGUAGUCC